UCUCCUCCCCUAUAUACUUAGUUCAGUCACACUCAUUGUUAAGUCUUCUGCCAUGCUACCCUGGUUCUGGUCUCGUUCCUGUCAUGUGCCUCAUCUGUUUUCAUCCGCCUACUUGUUUAUUAGAAGAGGAGGAAGGCCCCAGUUGAAAGAAAUAAGACCAGAGUGGAUCUGGGAAAUUUUUUUAAUGCGAUCCCUCUGAAGAGCGGAAGAGCAAGGUUCUGGCUGAGUAGAAAUGACAGUAAAUGGAGUGGAUAAAAGAGUCCUGUCAAGUCUGUGACACAUGGGAUGCCGCAACACCAGCCAGGAAACACAUUUGUCUCUUUUUGCCGGCAUAUCCAUGCAGAAGCUCUGACAGAAGCAUUUCACAGAAGUGAUGCUGCCAACAUCGAAAGUCAUUGCUGCCAGGUUAAUGAUUCAUGGAUGGACUUAUUGUCAUGUUAUCAGUGUAAUGUUACUGCAAAAUCAUAAAAAUAAAAA